rnacentral:rRNA from 1 species
UACGUAGGGGGCAAGCGUUGUCCGGAAUCAUUGGGCGUAAAGCGCGUGUAGGCGGCCCGGUAAGUCCGCUGUGAAAGUCGGGGGCUCAACCCUCGGAUGCCGGUGGAUACUGUCUGGCUAGAGUCCGGAAGAGGAGAAUGGAAUUCCUGGUGUAGCGGUGAAAUGCGCAGAUAUCAGGAAGAACACCCGUGGCGAAGGCGGUUCUCUGGGACGGUACUGACGCUGAGACGCGAAAGCGUGGGGAGCGAACAGG